ACUGAAGAAUUGAAACAAAUGGCAUGGAUUUUGUAAGGCGGCUGUGCUUUCUUUCUCCUUCUUGUUCAUCCUUCCCAGGCUGAGGAUGAGAAGGUGAAGAUUGUACAUCAUACCCAUCAGUUAGAGAUUGAGCUACCCAACCCACUGAGGGGACUUUAAUUUACAGAAAGGAAACUGCUAACAGCUAUCUCUAAAUUACAAUGGUGAAGAUUUACCAGAGGGAAGCUUCGGUAAAAUAGGCUUUUUAGUCUUGUCCCUAAUAAGUGUAUGUACCUAUUAGGGUAUAAUGUAAACUACCAUUUUGCUGAAACCGGCUUACAUAAUAAUUUUGUGCCGCUGGUUAACUCCAGUUUACUUUGCAUUUAGUCUUGCCCUUGAUUUUGCGUAAGAAGGGGAACACUGGUUUAUCUGGACUGUGAUAACCUGGAUUAUUUCCUGCUUUAUCUAGGCAAUUAAGUCAGAAUUGUAUACAUUUGUCCAUGGGUGAUAGUUGUUGGUGGCAUUCCAUUACCAUAGCAACAGGCUUCAUUCUUGGUUGCUACUAAUUGCCUCCAGAAUUAUGAGGGUAGGGAGGUUUUCCAGCUGACAGUGCACAGUGUUUGUAGAAAGUGCAAAAAGGGCUCUGUCAGAGCUCUCUAUUUAGAACCAACGGCUCGGGGACCACAAUGACUGAGAUAGAUGUGUUACAAGAACUUCCCAGUGACUUACUGCCCUGACUCUGGUUGCUGACAAAUGCUAUACUGCUACUUGGCUUCUGGGAAACGGAAAAGGUAUUUGGCCUUGGGAGUGUUUCUGUGGAAAGUAUAAUAGCAUGAACACCUGGUUCCCUAUCCUGCUUCUUCAGUCAACUGCCCAAUGGGUCAUUUUAUUUACAUUCCAGAUGUAGCCAAUAAAGAGAAUGAGGUGGCUUCAGUGAAUUCUAAUGGUCAUACUAUAUUCCUUUCAAGGAUAAAGAUCACCUGGGACAUUUCCCUGUUGGACACAUGUCUGUUUCACCAUUACAAAGUACAAAAAAGCUUUAAACAAGUAAAAUCUAGGCAACAGGCUCCCUGAAGUGUUGACAGCUCAACUUAAUCAUGAACGUGACUCAAAAAUGUUAAUAAAUAAACCAAGGUAUUGUACAAUUAUAAUAUGCCCCCUCUUCCAAAGUUUUCAAGAUCAAAAUAAUUUUGGAAUAUAUUUAGAAUUUAAAUAAAGCUGCUGUCUUUGGUAAUUAAACUGGUUCCUCUACCUCCAUUUCUUCUCUUCCUUGCUUUCCUCUCCCCUCCCCCAUUCUCUCCAUCAAAAACAAAACAAAAAAAAAACCCAAAACACUUUCUCAGCUUUAAAGUUUGGUUUUUUUUUUUCCUUACAGCAGCCUCUGUGUUAUAUUUCCCGUAUACCUAAAUUAAGACAGUACGAAUUCAGUUCUUGAUUCUGCUUUGUUGAUUGUUGUUUUAUCUUUCAAGUUGUCUAAUAAGAGAGACAUCUAGAUUAUUGUCCUCUGCAGAAAAACCCAAACCAUCUCUAAUGAUCACAUAUAUUUAAACUUUUUUAUCAUAUAAUUAGGAUCCUAAGAUGUAGGUUUUAAAAGCCUUAUAAACAUUUUCUUUUUCUAUUUUCGGAAGCCUUUUUAUUUAGAAAAGAAAAAAGCCAAUACUGUCUUUCCCCCCCACCGCCCUCCACCCCCAUAUCAAAGUAAAUCAAAAGUUUGCUUAGAAUGGAGAAUUUAGGGAUACUGUUUAAGGUAACUCUGGUUUCUCAGGGCAUAACCCAAGACCAGCUCCCUCCUUUUGCAAGUUACAACGUGCCUAAAUAGCCUGGCAUUUCCAAGAGAGGCCAAAGAUCUUUUCCUCUUUUAUGACCCGUUGUAUCCUUUUGAGGCCAAAAAGAACAAGAGGGUCAUUGCCACUUCAGCCCUGUCCCUGUUUGUUCCUUCAUAGCGACUACACAGAUCUUGAAACCUAGUAUUGGCUUAACAUUUGGGCCUGGAACAUCUGGAAAAGGGCCUGAGAGGGAGUGGAGGAGACCCGAGAGGGAGAACUGUUGCGUUUUGUUACACCAGGUGCUAGGAGGAAGCAGCAUUCCCCUUUUUGAUAUGGGAGGCAAAUUCUGCAGGCCCUGGAGUUAGGCUUCAACAAUUGAAGAGGUCAAAGGACAGCUGAGUGGGGUCAGUGAGACACCAUGGGGUGUAUUUUGUUACUUAGUAAAAGGAGCAGCCUCCUAAAACCUUAAAGGAUUCUCUUGAAAAUCUGUGUUGUGAAAAGGUUUUAUGAGUCUCAUGGCAAAAACUCCUGAUUUAUCUAAGGAAUGCUUGCUUUUGUCUAAUGGAAGGAUAAUCCUUACCAAAUGUUGGCAACUACUAUAAGAGUCAAUAUAGGUCUGAAAGAACAGUUAGGGUUUGAGUAUACUUUGCUUUCCAAAAUGUUUAUCGUUUCAAUGCUUGUCUCUCAGUGAAGAAUUUUACAGUGUUGAAAUAUCACCUUUUUCUUUCUUUGCAGCAAAAUGUGGCAAAAAUUUGGUGAGAGGUGGGGUAGGGGUGGGGUAAGGAAUGAGCUUACAUUAAUUUUAAAAUUAUUUUAACAAGCUUUGACUGACUCUAAAGCAGGAUAUUAUUAACUUUUAAAAACACCAAAACUUAACUCUAAAAAAUUCUUUGAAUUUAUUUUUAACAAAAAAGGGGAAUCAAUGAAGUGCCAUUUAGUCUUGGAUUACAAAAGUUUUUUUUUUUUUUUUUUUUAAUUUAGUCGUAUGUCAUAGAAGUGGGUAUCAGUUGACGAAGAACCUUAAACCUGGGGCUUCCCCGACUGUGUUUCUUGUGCAUUUUGUAGUAGUAAGAAGAAAAUCAAUGUCAGAGUCAAGAAUAGAGAAUAAGAAAAGCAAAUAAAGAAUUUUCUUUUUGAAAGAAAAUGGAGACAGAGGGGAAAUUUGCCUGUGGUAAGAGAUCUUUGCCACACAACCCAUGACCUCAAGAUACCACUUAUGUGAUUGAGGAGACUUUGGAAAUGUAUUGCUACCUGGCAGAUAGGUAGCAAAAGGCAGAGGAAUUUGGUGAUAUUUUGAUGUUCAGUUUAUACACUUUACACUUGUGUAUAGAAGAGGAGUGUGUGUAUUGCAACAUGUAUAGUAAGGGGGAAAGAUAAAAUGAUGGCUAGUAUAGAAGAGACUUUAUUAAGCAUUUACGUGCUAAUUUCUAACUUUACAGUAAGUUGGAAUUACAUGUGUGUGUAUGAAUUUUUCCAAUUCUUUUAAAUAAUUAUCCAUUUUAAAGCCACAUAUACCUAAAUGUAAGGCUUAGCUGUGCAAUAUGCUCUGUGUCUAUUUUCUCAAGGUUAAAGUGCCUUUCAACAACUAAUUCAGAAACUUAAGUGUAGUGACUGAUAAUUGCCUAGAGAAAACCCACAGCUGUUUAAGUAGCAUUGAAAUUGUGGCAAAACUGACAAAUACAAUUAGCAACGUUAAUAAGAUAAGAAGAUGGAAAGUCAGGGGCAGAUGACACAGUGGAAAGAUGAAGGUAGUAGGAGCAACACAUCCGUUGAACAGAAUGUUCAUGGUGGCUUUGAAUUGCCAGUGCUUUUUCUUUUAAGCUCAGCCCCUCUUUUACCAGCAGAAGGGUGUUUACAAAUUAAAUAAUUCAUAUAUGCAUGUUCAAUCCUACCUUAUAUCUGACUUUGAAAGAAGACAGCAGUAGCAGCUAAGAAAACCAGUCAGAAUUUGCUGAUUCUAAAGCAACGAUUUUCUUUGCAGUGCCUCUUAAAAAUCAAUUUUAAAUGUAUUUCUAUUUGACUGUAAUUACUGUGAGGGGGAAUUUCUUUACCCCUCUUUGCACCCUUAUAAUUCUUAUGAGUCAACCACACACAUUACAAAGGAGACCAAAGCCCUGUUUCUAGAUUUAGUGACUCAGUAUUACCAAAACAAAACAAAAAAUCUGCAGGUCUUUAAUGUGUUCUUACUAAUUAUAUUGAUCUGGUUAAUAUUCAUAGCCUGCUUCCCAAACAGCUUCUUAGGAAAAUUAAAUGGGGAUAGGGAAAUAAGAAAAAUUAGGCGAAUAUUAUAUGGAAAAUGAUUAAACAUCUGUGUUCUUCCCAUUAUGGUUUUUAAAGCAUCCAAUGAAAUUUGGAAAAUUAUCCUAGUAUCUUUUGAAAUUCUACUCUGCAAAUGGGAAAUUGGUUUUU
ensembl:lncRNA